rnacentral:rRNA from 1 species
AACGAACGCUGGCGGCAUGCCUAACACAUGCAAGUCGAACGAGAUCUUCGGGUCUAGUGGCGCACGGGUGCGUAACGCGUGGGAAUCUGCCCUUUGGUUCGGAAUAACAGUUGGAAACGACUGCUAAUACCGGAUGAUGACGAAAGUCCAAAGAUUUAUCGCCAGAGGAUGAGCCCGCGUAGGAUUAGCUAGUUGGUGUGGUAAAGGCGCACCAAGGCGACGAUCCUUAGCUGGUCUGAGAGGAUGAUCAGCCACACUGGGACUGAGACACGGCCCAGACUCCUACGGGAGGCAGCAGUAGGGAAUUUUCCACAAUGGGCGAAAGCCUGAUGGAGCAACGCCGCGUGCAGGAUGAAUGCCUUCGGGUUGUAAACUGCUUUUAUAUGUGACGAUUUUGACGGUAGCAUAUGAAUAAGGAUCGGCUAACUCCGUGCCAGCAGCCGCGGUAA